GCCAGGUGUGGUGGCACACGCCUGUAAUCCCAGUGAUUUGGGAGGCUGAGGCAGGAGGAUUGAGAGUUCAAAGCCAGUCUCAG
rnacentral:sRNA from 1 species